UACGAAGGGUGCAAACGUUGCUCGGAAUUAUUGGGCGUAAAGCGCACGUAGGCGGCUUAGCAAGUCGGAUGUGAAAUCCCUCGGCUCAACCAAGGAAGUGCAUCCGAAACUGCUGAGCUUGAGUACGAAAGAGGAUCGCGGAAUUCCCGGUGUAGAGGUGAUAUUCGUAGAUAUCGGGAGGAACACCAGUGGCGAAGGCGGCGAUCUGGGUCGAUACUGACGCUGAGGUGCGAAAGCGUGGGGAGCGAACAGG
rnacentral:rRNA from 1 species